rnacentral:rRNA from 1 species
AUUGAACGCUGGCGGCAUGCCUUACACAUGCAAGUCGAACGGCAGCACGGGAGCAAUCCUGGUGGCGAGUGGCGAACGGGUGAGUAAUGUAUCGGAACGUGCCCAGUCGUGGGGGAUAACGUAGCGAAAGCUACGCUAAUACCGCAUACGAUCUGUGGAUGAAAGCGGGGGACCGUAAGGCCUCGCGCGAUUGGAGCGGCCGAUAUCAGAUUAGGUAGUUGGUGGGGUAAAGGCCUACCAAGCCGACGAUCUGUAGCUGGUCUGAGAGGACGCCCAGCCACACGGGGACUGAGACACGGCCCAGACUCCUACGGGAGGCAGCAGUGGGGAAUUUUGGACAAUGGGCGCAAGCCUGAUCCAGCAAUGCCGCGUGCAGGAUGAAGGCCUUCGGGUUGUAAACUGCUUUUGUACGGAGCGAAAAGGCUCUCUCUAAUACAGGGGGCUCAUGACGGUACCGUAAGAAUAAGCACCGGCUAACUACGUGCCAGCAGCCGCCGUAA